GUUUCUACUUUUAGGAUCUAACAAAUUAAAUGUUGAAUUAAAUUAAAUUACUGUUUCUGCAUUUAGAAUCCUUGAUUGCAAGUAGCAAUACUUACCAAGUAAAAGAUCCAUGGCUUUGGCGAGUAAAAAACUGAAGGUUUCUGAUCAACCAACAAUGGAAGAUGAACACGAAUUGGAUGUGAAAUUUCAUGAUCCAUUCAUCGUGUCAUCGCUUCCAAUAUUAAUAUGUUAAUAUUGUGUUUCCACGAGUCCAUGCUACUGCAUUCAAUUUUUCAAUAUUUCUGUCAACACCGCAUUAAAGAUAACUUGAUUUCAACCUGUCCUGAAUUCCCUGCUGUUGAAAUUUUGAAUUCAUUUGAUUGCCAUUUAGCAGUAGUGUGCGUUGAAAAGAUGGCAAAAUGACGAUGCUCAGGAAAAGUGAAACUAUUGUGAUACUUGUCAUAGCAGGAUUUGUUAUUAAAUGAAAAGAAAGACUUUAGAUGUAAGCCUGAGCCCCUUUUCAUCAAUAAUUCAGAAAUCUUGUGCUCUGGUUGUAAAAUAAUUCCAGCUUAGUUCAGGACGGAGAGUGGAUCGAAUUCGUGCCAUAGAUGUAAAUCAACAACAUUUCAGCCAUUAACAUCAUUAAAAUUGAACAAUCCGCCAUUAGUGAAUGCAAAAGGUUAAUGUGCACCAUCACAAUGAACACGAAGGAAAUUAUUCAUCGUAAUAGGAUUCAAAUUGCUAAAUUAAGCUGCCUGAAAAGGAGUUGGAAAUGAUAAGUAAAGCCGUAUACCUUUCACUUGCAGACAAGCUUUGGUCGACGCUCAGUAUAAGCAUCAAAGCCUCCCAGUGCAGUGAAUGAUGUUGAAGACAGUACCAAUAUUUCAUUCAGAAUUGGCUCUGAAACAUUGCAUGGUCUCAAAAGAGUAGCUGAUGGCAUAGAGAAAACCGAAUUAUUAAUAGAGCACUCGACAUCUAUUUUUGGGUUCGAUAAACUUAAUACAUUCAACAUGCACAUUGACUUGCACUAUUGCCCAUUUACUAGCCUUUAUUGACUCGCGGUAGGCAACACUAUCUGAUACGAAUGACCACUCAACGCCAGAAGUGUUAAUCAAACAACACAUAUCAAAUGCAUUUGACGCCUACCUGAGUUGCUCAUGUGCAUGGCAUACUCGUACUGUUUGACUGGGCGGUCACUCGAAACGCCAGUUUUAACUGAAAAUCGAAGUGAUUAGUUGUUUCGAUUUUGAACUCGAUUUGAAGAUAUUAAUUAUUUCUGAUUAACACAAAGAUUGAAUUUGAAGACAAUGGAGUUAAUGCUUUUAAAUUAAAAGUUAAUGUUUCUUUUUUCCUCAAGACAAUCGUGUUUAGGUAAAUCCCGGUAACUCGUGUGAAUCUUGAUCAUUUUGCUGCUGUUGUUGUGUUUUUAAAUUAGUAUUAAAUUAUUAUUAUCUUUAUAUUGAUUAAAAAAGUGCAAAUUCGUGUCUAACAUUUGUUUACACAUUACGAUAUAUAUACGAUUGGAGGAUAAAGGUGAAUGAUAAAAGAUGAUAAUAAUGUGAAAGGGAUAACAGAUAGAUGUUGAUUAAAAAGGAAAGCUACAAAGUGUAUAAGACAAGUGGAGAUAUUAACUGUAUUAUAAGCUAUAAAAUGGUCAACAGGAAGAAGCAAACUCGAAAUGGAAAUGGGUCAAAUUUUGGUGAAUCCAUUAUGUUAAUCGACCAGCGCAAAAGAAGGCAGACAUUUUGUAUUCAUUGUUCACCUUAAUAUUUCAAGUAGAAGAGCCAAGAUAAUGUAAUUCACCAAAUUAUUGAGACAAUCAACUUAUGAUGAUAUGAGAAAUUCAUCAUUGCCCUUAUAUAUCUAAAUUAUUUCUGAUUAACUAUUUAUUUUAUAUUAACUUUCACAUCCACUCAUCUGAUUAGGAAAUCUGACCAACAACCAAACACCAACUCAAGUCUUCUUGCAGAUAUUUGUUUUUGGCGCUUUGGCAGUUGGACGUGAUUGAUUAACAAUUUUUACAAUUUAAAUCUUUUGUCUACUAAUGGCAAUUGAUCACGAUUAGGAAAACAGAAUAAACGAAAAAGUUUUCCCUUUAAACAUGAUGAUCAUGAUCACAAUCAUUACCAUUUAUUACCCAAUCAGCCCAAUUUGAUCAACAUGAAGUAUCAAUUUAAAUCACAUUAAGGUUAACAAAGUUGAAUACUUUCAUUUCAAUUUUUCAUUUUCCUUGAACUAUGAAUUCAUCAAUUCUUGAAAUAAUCAGACAAAUCAAAUGUAAAAGGAUAAUGAAAUCUGACAAAAUAAUGUUAAUGUCAAUUGUUAACAUCAUGAAACCAUCUGACAGUUGCAAUUCACUUCUUCAAAUGUAAUAAACCAAAAAUAUUAAUAUAUUGAAUUUCAAUUUGAUAACAAAAUUGAACAUAAUUUUCUCAUGUUAUUGUGAAUGGAUAAAGAAUCUUAAUCAGACAA